GGAAGUAAAAGUCGUAACAAGGUCCCCGUUGGUGAACCAGCGGAGGGAUCAUUACUGAGUUUACGCUCUACAACCCUUUGUGAACAUACCUACAACUGUUGCUUCGGCGGGUAGGGUCUCCGCGACCCCCCCGGCCUCCCGCCUCCGGGCGGGUCGGCGCCCGCCGGAGGAUAACCAAACUCUGAUUUAACGACGUUUCUUCUGAGUGGUACAAGCAAAUAAUCAAAACUUUUAACAACGGAUCUCUUGGUUCUGGCAUCGAUGAAGAACGCAGCGAAAUGCGAUAAGUAAUGUGAAUUGCAGAAUUCAGUGAAUCAUCGAAUCUUUGAACGCACAUUGCGCCCGCCAGCAUUCUGGCGGGCAUGCCUGUUCGAGCGUCAUUUCAACCCUCAAGCUCUGCUUGGUGUUGGGGCCCUACAGCCGAUGUAGGCCCUCAAAGGUAGUGGCGGACCCUCCCGGAGCCUCCUUUGCGUAGUAACUUUACGUCUCGCACUGGGAUCCGGAGGGACUCUUGCCGUAAAACCCCCCAAUUUUCCAAAGGUUGACCUCGGAUCAGGUAGGAAUACCCGCUGAACUUAAGCAUAUCAAUAAGCGGAGG
rnacentral:rRNA from 1 species